AUAAUACUCCUUCUGUCUAACAAAAGAUGUCUCAAGUUUGUCAAAUUUUGGAUGUAUUUAGACAUGAAUUAGUGUAUAGAUGUAUUCAAAUUUGGUCAAAAUUGAGACAUUAUUUGUUAGGCGGAGGGAGUAUGUG
rnacentral:pre_miRNA from 1 species